AUAUCGCAGCUUCUGACGAGGCCAUCAGAGCCCGUAUGAGAAUUUGGGAAAGGCAUUUGAAGUCCUGUUUAUUUGAAUCAAGCAUAAACACACUGUGCACAUGUCUGGCUGCUGGUGGGGCAGGGAGGAGGCUGGGGAGCAGAUCCUUCUGCGGUGGAUUUCAAAUGGAGAUCAGCUGGCCCGAGUGAUCGAUUACCCCGGAUGAAAAGACUCAGAGCUGUGGACUCGUAGCAGGAAGAGCCCUUAGAAACAGGGAACUGCUCUUUUUACAGUUAGGGAUACUGAAGACCAGAGAGGUGCUUGCUUGCCCAAAGUCGCGCAGCUUAGCUUGAAAGUAAAUUAUGGAAGAAUUCUGGUGGGCUUUGGGGUCAGACAGCGUUGAGUUCAAGUCCUGGAUCUAUCACUAUAUUCCUUGGCCUCAUACAUCAAAGAGGAAGAUGGAGCGGAGUCUGUUACUACGCGGAGACCCAGGCUGCAGGAGGAACGGGUGGCAACUGUCUGCGAAAUUGAGCACUUUCUGUCAAAACAAGCAGAAUGUCCUUCGGGUUAGAAGCGACAGUGACUUGCAAGAUGUGCGAAAUGCCCAGUGAGAUGGCCAAUGGACAGUGUCAAGCUGGAAACCCAGUAGGAUUUCUAAUUUGUCAACAGAACCCAGCACAGCCCAGAGGGAAGAGGGUUUUAAAUGGAAAGAAAGAACGCAGCAGAACUGAAGGACAAGAGGAUGUUGCUCUGCCCGUUUGCAGCAGAACAAACUAAACUUUGGGCUUUAUUUCAGGAAUGCUGGGGAAUUACCAUCUCUCAGGGUGGGAGAGGGUUGUAGAGUCUGCUCUGUCUACUCGUGUCCUGUGAUGGCUGAAUGUCCACCAAAUGACUACCAAACCUCUGUCCCAGUGGCUCGAGGGUCAGGCAGCCACUGCCUCUGGAGGCAGCUUCUAAGAACAGCCAUUCACUCGAUCAACAAACGUUAAUCAAAUGCCAAAUAGCAACAGAGCACCUGCCAGGCGAGGGACGAGGUGCUGGAGCAGUGAGACAACUGAAAUCGACUUGGUCCCUGUGCUUGUGGCACCAAGAGUCUAGUGGGGGUUAUAGACACUAAGUAAUUAAAUGCUUGGGUGAAAUAAUUAUAACUUACAAUGACUGUUAUGGGUUGAAUUGUUUU
rnacentral:lncRNA from 1 species